rnacentral:tRNA from 1 species
AUGAAUGGGAGGGCCUUGAU